rnacentral:rRNA from 1 species
UACAUAGGGUGCGAGCGUUAAUCGGAAUUACUGGGCGUAAAGCGUGCGCAGGCGGUUUUGUAAGCCGGAUGUGAAAUCCCCGGGCUUAACCUGGGAAUGGCAUUCGGGACUGCAAGGCUGGAGUGCGGCAGAGGAGACUGGAAUUCCUGGUGUAGCAGUGAAAUGCGUAGAUAUCAGGAGGAACACCGAUGGCGAAGGCAGGUCUCUGGGCUGACACUGACGCUCAUGCACGAAAGCGUGGGGAGCAAACAGG